AACUAUACGAAUUCCUGGUAACUGCAGGACUUGAGAUCGGGAGAAGCUAGAGGUACUCCUGGGGUAAGGUGAAAUUCUGUAAUCCUAGGGGACCACCAGUGGCGAAGCGUCUACUAGAACGAGUCUGACGGUCUGGGACGAAGCCCUGGGGCGCAAACGGGAUUAGAUACCCCGGUAGUCCAGGGUGUAAACGCUGCUCGCUUGAUGUUAGCUGGGCUCCGAGCCCAGCUAGUGUCGGAGAGAAGUUGUUAAGCGAGCUGCCUGGGGAGUACGGUCGCAAGACUGAAACUUAAAGGAAUUGGCGGGGGAGCACCGCAACGGGAGGAGCGUGCGGUUUAAUUGGAUUCAACGCCGGAAACCUCACCGGGGGCGACGGUUACAUGAAGGCCAGGCUGAUGACCUUGCCAGAUUUUCCGAGAGGUGGUGCAUGGCCGUCGUCAGUUCGUACCGUAAGGCGUUCUGUUAAGUCAGAUAACGAACGAGACCCUCAUCGCUAGUUGCUACUGGUAACUCCGGUUAUCAGGCCCACUAACGAAAACCGCUGGCGAUAAGUCAGAGGAAGGCGAGGGCAACGGUAGGUCAGUAUGCCCUGAAUCCCCCGGGCUACACGCGCGCUACAAAGGCUAGGACAAUGGGCUCCGACACCGAAAGGUGAAGGUAAUCCCGAAAGCUACCGUAAUUCGGAUUGAGGGUUGCAACUCACCCUCAUGAAGGUGGAUUCCGUAGUAAUCGCGGAUCAACCAUUCCGGGUGAAUAUGCCCCUGCUCCUUGCACUCACCGGCCGUCCAG
rnacentral:rRNA from 1 species